rnacentral:rRNA from 1 species
UACAGAGGGUGCGAGCGUUAAUCGGAAUUACUGGGCGUAAAGCGCACGUAGGUGGCGACGUAAGUCGGGUGUGAAAGCCCCGGGCUCAACCUGGGAAUUGCAUUCGAGACUGCAUUGCUGGAGUACGGAAGAGGAAGGCGGAAUUCCCGGUGUAGCGGUGAAAUGCGUAGAGAUCGGGAAGAACAUCUGUGGCGAAGGCGGCCAGCUGGGCUGUUGCUGACGCUGAUGCGCGACAGCGUGGGGAGCAAACAGG